AGGAUAAACGCUGGCGGCGUGCCUAACACAUGCAAGUCGAACGCGCUUUCGGGCUUCGGUGCGAGAGCGAGUGGCGGACGGGUGAGUAACACAUGGGUACCUACCUUGGAGUGAGGGAUACCGGCGAGAAAUCGCCGACAAUACCGCAUAGGCUUCUUCACAAGGGAAGCAAAGUGACGCGAGUCACGCUGUGAGAUGGGCCUGUGGCCGAUUAGCUAGUUGGGGGGGUAACGGCUUCCCAAGGCGACGAUCGGUAGCUGGUCUGAGAGGACGAUCAGCCACACUGGGAUUGAGAACGGCCCAGACUCCUACGGGGGGCAGCAGUGAGGAAUUUUCCGCAAUGGAGGCAACUCUGACGGAGCAACGCCGCGUGCAGGAGGAAGGUUUUCGGAUCGUAAACUGCUUUUCGUCGGGGACGAGCAAGGACGGUACCCGAGGAAGAAGCCCGGCUAACUACGUGCCAGCAGCCGC
rnacentral:rRNA from 1 species